rnacentral:tRNA from 1 species
AUUCAAAUAGCUUAUAUAUAGAGCAUAAUAUUGAAGAUAUUAAGGAGAUUAUUAUUAUCUUUGAAUA